GCCGACUUAGCUCAGCUGGUAGAGCUCUUGUCUUGUAAACAAGUGGUCGCGGGUUCGAGUCCCGCAGUCGGCU
rnacentral:tRNA from 1 species